rnacentral:misc_RNA from 1 species
AAGUCGUAACAAGGUUUUCACCUAUAGAAGCCUAACACUGACGACUAUAAAUAAGAAGUGCAGUUUGAUUUUGUUUUUUAAAAAGUCAGGCAACGUCUCCUGUAUGCUGGAAGUUUUAUCUCUUCAUGAUGAAUAUCAGCAGCCCAAUUUUUGGGUUCACAGAUCAAAUAGAGGCGGUUAAUCAAUUUUCCAAGAUUAAUAAAGAUAUGACCGGUCUUGACUUGAAAAUAGUUAAAGAAUUCACGUUCCGUAGGUGAACCUGCGGAAGGAUCAUUACUGAGUAAAGGUUUUAAUUAGCCUGACCUCCAACCCCUUUGAUAAACUACUUUGUUGCUUUGGCAAGUCAUUUCUUGGUUUCGGUUAAGAAAUGUUGGAGUGAGCAAUCUCUAAUUUGUACUUGCCAAUAGCCCAAUUAAAUUCUUUAUAAUUAUAAAUGUCUGACAGUUUAAAUAUUAAAUUAAACAAAA